rnacentral:misc_RNA from 1 species
UCCAAAUGUCCUCCCAUGAACUUCUGUCAUGGUAGUUUUGGAGAAAACAGCGAGACGAAGAGCCCAAAUAUCGACGAAGCCAAACCAUACCGAUGCAAGCCGAAGUGUACCCACUAGCAUUAACCACCAUCCUAACAGCUCCAUCUCUUUAAUUUUUCUCUCCACACACUUUCUUCUCUCCUUCGCCCCGGUUCCUAUUUUG